rnacentral:lncRNA from 1 species
AGGCAUCACCACCUACUUCCCCUCAGCAGUGGGUCCUUGGUGACCCUCUGGCUGGCAAAUGAUCCCAUCCUGAGGGCCUGCUUCCCAGGACCAUGUCUGGUAUUGUCUCAGGUUGGGGCCCCCAGAAGCCGACCCUGAGAAAAAGAUUUGAGAGCGCAUCAUUUAUUUAGGAGGUGACCCCAGGAAGCCCCUGCAGGGGACAGGUUCUUUCUGCCAUCAUGAAUGUGGCAGAAAGUUGUCAUGAUGCUACAGCAUUUCUCAAGCGUGGUUGUUUCAGGGGAAGAGACUCUGAGGCAGAGAGGAACAUGCAGGAGGUUGAUUAGAGACCGCUCUUGGGAUCAACACCGCUGGAAGAGAAUGCAAUGGAAGGAAGCAAGAUUGGGCAGAAGGAGAAGCUGAUCUGUGAUGCAAGCCCCGUGGGGAGCUCUGAAAAUGGAGGAUGACCAAAGAAUGGCCUUGGUGAUAGAUGAGAUGACCCAGCUGGAGGGUGUAGACAGAGAACGGUCCAGGACCAGUGCUCAGGAAGGUCCAGAUUUAAUGGCUGGGCAGAGGCAGAUGAGUGCACAAUGGAGACCAAGGAGACUCUUCCAGAGAAGUAGGAGGAAACCAAAGAGAUGCGGCCUCCCGGAAGUGACAAGACGAAAAUAUUAUAAGGAGGAGGAUGUGGCCAUGUGCUGGAAGAGGGAUAACAGCAGAUAAAUGAAGAUAAUCUGGACAGCGGUCUGCUUUUGGGGGAACUUAAGCCAACACAAGCUCGAUGGAGAGGACGAGGUUGAAAGUAAAGAAGAGAGAGGAUGCAAAAGAAGGAGCAGAUCCCCAGGGGGUCUAGGGGGAGGUGAGAUGAUCAGCAAAGAGUGGGAGAUGAGCAACUUGAGGAGAGUGGAGAAGGUCGUCCUGUGGAGAAGGAGAGAGCAGCUUAGGAAAACGGGGAGCCAUUCUCAAAGAGUCUGAAGACGCGGGGAAUCGUAAAUUUGUGGUAGAACCGUCUACGCCAUUGUGAGAUGGCCUCCGUCAACCCUUGGCAUCUCUGUGAAGGCAACAAAGAGGCGGGCAGCUGGAUUCUGCGGUUUUGCCAGGGCCGUGUAAGCUGGCAGCCCUCAUGCGACGUUCCGGAGCCGGUGGCACAAGGGGGUCUACAGAGAGAAGAGAGCGGCUCUGCAGGGAAUGAGAAGGAGGAGAGUGGGGGACUCGGACUGAGCGUGGAGAACAGCCACUUGCAUUGCGGUCUCUCCAGUUUCCCAUUUCAAACUCUGGGUCAGCGUGGCAGUCCUUCCUGCCUGUGGGUUCCAUAUGACAUCUGUAAAAUGGGAUGGGAUGGUACCCACCUCCAAGGGUGACUGAAGAUGAGGAACAGCCCGUGUGGGUGCUCAAUAAAUGCUGGCUCUUACUCAG